GUGGGGAAUAUUGGACAAUGGGCGCAAGCCUGAUCCAGCCAUGCCGCGUGGGUGAAGAAGGCCUUCGGGUUGUAAAGCCCUUUUGUUGGGAAAGAAAAGCAGUCGGUUAAUACCCGAUUGUUCUGACGGUACCCAAAGAAUAAGCACCGGCUAACUUCGUGCCAGCAGCCGCGGUAAUACGAAGGGUGCAAGCGUUACUCGGAAUUACUGGGCGUAAAGCGUGCGUAGGUGGUUGUUUAAGUCCGUUGUGAAAGCCCUGGGCUCAACCUGGGAAUUGCAGUGGAUACUGGGCAACUAGAGUGUGGUAGAGGAUGGCGGAAUUCCCGGUGUAGCAGUGAAAUGCGUAGAGAUCGGGAGGAACAUCUGUGGCGAAGGCGGCCAUCUGGACCAACACUGACACUGAGGCACGAAAGCGUGGGGAGCAAACAGGAUUAGAAACCCUAGUAGUCC
rnacentral:rRNA from 1 species